rnacentral:piRNA from 1 species
UUUGCCCUCAGGAUGUGAG